rnacentral:rRNA from 1 species
GACGAACGCUGGCGGCGUGCCUAACACAUGCAAGUCGAGCGGAGUCGAUCGACGGAAGCCUUCGGGCGGAAGAUGGUUGACUUAGCGGCGGAUGGGUGAGUAACGCGUGGGCAACCUGCCUCGAAGACCGGGAUAACAGACCGAAAGGGCUGCUAAUACCGGAUGUGGUCAAGGAUCCGCAUGGAUCUUUGAUUAAAGGGGAAACCCGUUUCGAGAUGGGCCCGCGUCCUAUCAGCUAGUUGGUGAGGUAAAAGCUCACCAAGGCGACGACGGGUAGCCGGCCUGAGAGGGUGACCGGCCACACUGGAACUGAGACACGGUCCAGACUCCUACGGGGGGCAGCAGUGGGGAAUCUUCCACAAUGGGCGAAAGCCUGAUGGAGCGACGCCGCGUGAGCGAAGAAGGCCUUCGGUUGUAAAGCUCUGUCUGGAGGGACGAAGGAAGUGACGGUACCUCCGGAGGAAGCCCCUCGCUAACUACGUGCCAGCAGCCGCGGUAAACGAGUAGUACA